GGUACAGGUCGAUUAUUUUGGUGUAUUAGGUUGCAUUUCCCACCUGGGUAAGGGCUUCCUAGAGAGACCACCAGAAGCUGUUCCAGCUGGGAGUUCAGGCAUGAGUUCCAGGCUGGGUUGGAGAAAGAGAAACUUCAUGGGCAAUGGUGUGCAUGCCUGAGCCAUAUUUCCUAUUAACAGUUUACAAAGAGAAGAUAUCCAAGUCUUUAUGCUUUUAGGAUCUCCUGACCAGACCCAGUGGGUAAGAAGGGGAAAUGGAACACUUAAAAUAUUGGUGUCAGUGCAUUUUGAAGAAGCUCUACAUGUAGUACUCAUGGCAUGAGGCUUUAAGGAAGUCAACUGAAUGGUUCCCCAGGAAGAUCCUGCUUUGAUAUAACAAAGUUCUUUUUGUUGCAAAAAUGGCAAGAAGAAAGGGGACAGUGUGUGAGCUGAAGAGACUGAAAUAGUCACAUCACAGGCAAUCAAAAUGGAUCUCUUGCUGUAGAUCACAACAAUGCAGAAUUUCUAAUGCAGAAAGGAUUCAAGAAUAGAAAAGAAGGCAUCCAGAGUUUAAGAAAAGCACAAAGGAGAGGGAGGAUUAGUUGUAAGCUCCAGUGCCAUGGUCAGCUCCUGUGCUUACUUUAUUGCUUUGCCUGUUCCCUACUGUGGCUCUGGAAGUACAGAAAAUCUUUUAUGUAAUGAAAGUUGGCUCGGAAGGAGGAUCUGCUCUGAGAUUCCCCGGAAGACCAAACCAGCUCUAAUUCCUUCAGUUUAACCUUUUACUUCCGGAGGAUUUGCCAAGGAAGGAGUUGUUUGUUUUUUUUUUUUCCCUAGACAAAUGUAUUAAUAUUUAAUAAAACAUGAAGCCAUAUGAUGCUUCUACA
rnacentral:lncRNA from 1 species